rnacentral:rRNA from 1 species
GACGAACCGUGCGAACGUUGUUCGGAUUCACUGGGCUUAAAGGGCGCGUAGGCGGGCAUUCAAGUCAGGGGUGAAAUCCUGGAGCUCAACUCCAGAACUGCCUUUGAUACUGGUGAGCUUGAGUCCGGAAGAGGUGAGUGGAACUGCGAGUGUAGAGGUGAAAUUCGUAGAUAUUCGCAAGAACACCAGUGGCGAAGGCGGCUCACUGGUCCGGUACUGACGCUGAGGUGCGAAAGCGUGGGGAGCGAACAGG